GAAUGAUAUAUAAUAAAGUUUAUAUAUUUUAAUAUAUUUACUCGUAUUUACUCGUUUUCGACGAGUCCUUAUGCUGUUUUUUAUCGGGCUAAAGUGUGGAAAAUUUCCAAAAGAUGACGGUUAAGUAUUGCUGCGUAAUUCAAGCAAAACACCUGCGAUAUUGGAGAUAAUAUCGCUUCACACCUCGGCUGGAAUGGACUGGCCAAAUGGUGGCUCUGGCAUUUUCGGUCAAAAUGAACUUUAUGGCGAUUUCGGCGAGUUACGAGAGGAAGAGGUCGAGGAGCUGAGGUCUGAAAGAACCAUUAAAAGCGGUCUAAAGUCUGCAGAAGAAAUUGAACGAUUGACCGUGGAUGAGAAUUUAACAGAGAUUGAGAGAGCUGUGCUUUUACUCAGUUCUGGAAUAGAAGCGCAGAAAGUCAGUGUUAUAAACAGUCUACCAUCUUUGUUUGAAAAUAACGCCAAUGAUGCAAUCAAACAAGUUAUGCCAUUGGUUAGGGAAUUAUUGUAUAUUGCUCCAGUUGAGAUCCAAAUUGUUGCUAGCAGAGUCUACUGUCAUAUCAUAGAAAAUAGUCUCCUACCAAUAUAUGCAUUCACCUCAACUUUUUUACCAACAAUUUUAAGCAAUAUGGAAAACAAAGAUCCAGCCAUUUCAAGAGGUUGGCUCAAUGCAUUGCUGUGCACAAUACCACAACUACCUAAAGAUGCUAUUAAAAGAGAGAUUCUACCACUUGCUAUCACAAAAGGCCAGCUCUCACAGUCAGUUGUGUCAAGAUUAUCAUGUUGUAAGAUCCUUGGUCAGGUGGCUACAAAAUUUGAGCCUUUUUGGAUCAAGAAAGAGCUUCUUGGUCUGGUGACAUCAUUGUGUCAAGAUGUUGACUAUGAAGUCCGAGCAUGCAUGUGCAACGAACUGGAGUCCAUAGCAAGGGCAUUGGGAGGGGAGCUGACAAAGGCAUUUAUCAUCUCUGAACUAGUGGAACUAACAAAUGAUGAAGAAUGCACUGUUAGACUUGCUGCCAUUGAAACUGUUGCAAAUCUCUUGCAACUUUUAGAUGAUGAGAUUUGUGUCAAAGUUAUAAUUCCUCUUGUGCAAAACUUUUGCGAUUCUGCUCACAAGAAAAAUAACGAAACUCUCGUCACAGUUUCUCAACUGUUUGGGAAACUCAGCUACGGCCUGAAUGUGAAUUUGACAGAAUCCCAAAAGAAAUGGUUCGUAGAAUAUUUCCAAAAGUUGUGUAGUUCUGGUUUAACUGAAUCCAAGAAUAAAGUGAAUCAUUUUCAGAGAUUCAAUGCGUAUAAUGAAAGCCUGGAAGAAAGCAGAUGCACAGAGAUUCGGCGCAAUUGUGCUUUUAAUUUUCCGGCAAUGGUUCUGUUCGUUGGGCCUGAGAAUUUUACAAAAGAACUAGCCUCUUGCUUUCACGCUCUUGUUACGGAUCGUAAAAAUAUUGUGAGACGGACCAUUUCAUGUGGCUUUCAUGAGGUUAUCAAGUUACUAGGAAGUAAUGUUCAAUGUCUACAACCAGAACUGCACAUUCUUCUGAUGGAUGAAUCUGUGCAUGUUUUGGAGGGUUUCAUAUCAAAUCUUAAUAUUAUACUGACGGCAUUAUCGAAUGGCGGACGAUCCUCGCUGCCCGAAUCUAAGCUGAACAAUUUGUCCGACCUUAUCCCACCAGUUAUCACAUGUGAACAUACUGUAUCCCAGUCCAACAAUUGGAGAGUCCAUGAACAGCUGCUGGGAAAAUUUGCUAGUUUUGUCAAGUGUUUCACCUCCGAUCAGAUCUACUAUAAAUUUGUACCAGUUCUGUUCGAUGUUCUACAAAGAAAUCAUGUGCUUCCAGUAACCCACGCUGCGGCGUACACACUCUGUAUACUUAUCAAAAAUAACACGCGGUCUGAACAGAGAGAGGAGCUUUGUCGCCGUUUUAUUGAGGAUUGUGGGAAAGGAAAAAGUUAUCGUCAUAGAUUAUUGUUUAUAAAGAUAUGUACAUAUAUAUUAGAAAUAUUUUCGAGGAAAUUCUUCAAGGAGCAUUUCUUUGUGUUCGCCUUGGAGCUAGCAAUGGACCCUGUGGUCAAUAUAAGAUUACAAUUCUGUAACUUAUUACCUAAGCUGAAGUCAGUUUUAAAGCUGCCAAUCGACCGUGGUUUGCUACAACGUCUGGAGCAGUGUGUCAGACAGUUACUAAGUGAAGAACAGGAUCCAGAUGUUUCCACAGCCGUGCGAGAGGCUGUUCUUAAGCUAGAUAAAAUAGAAGUUGUUAUGGAAACGUUGAGCAGAAGAUCCAUGUUUGAAGAGGAUUUAGUCGACCAGAAGAAAGAGGAAGAAGAAGCAUUAAUGGAGGAGAGGGAACGCAGUGGCUUAUCUCUGGCUCAGCGUAGUUCUGAUAGCAAGAAAAAGACUCCAUCAAAGGAUGAUAAGAUAAGCAAGAAAGUUAGCUCAGUUAACAGCAAAAAAGUUACCCAUGGAAAACAAGAUUUAAAGAAAACAUUGAGUAAAGAAGGUAAAACCAGUGGCAGCAAAGCAUCAGCCAGUAAAAACUCGCAAACUACGAAUUCAACGCUCGGAAAAAUGGCGUCGAUAACCUCGGCUCUUCCCGACCUCGCUUCGUGUAGUUAUCUUUCUGAGAAUACCACUGGUGCAAGUUCUAGGAAAGUGACCAGUGGUCCAAGUUUAGUGACAGUGAAGAGUUCGCAUAGUACUAUGGCAAAUAAAUCUGCAACCGCUAAGAAAUCCCACAGCAUCUCAGGCAGCAGCAAACCAACCGUAAAAACAACUCGAUCACAGUCCACGAAAAGGUAGCAUUUGGACAAAAUCACUAAGAAAAGCCAAGGUGCAAGGUGAAAUCAAACCAUCUUCGUUAUAUUUCGUCCAAAUUAAAAACAGUGGAGGAAACCAGAUGCACACUGGAAUUAGAAGAAAGGCAUUUGAAAUUUUUGAGCAUGAUGGAAACACAUCGGAUAUCGGAAAUUUGU